rnacentral:rRNA from 1 species
GACGAACGCUGGCGGCGUGCUUAACACAUGCAAGUCGAACGAAGUGGCGCACGGGUGAGUAACGCGUAAUCAACCUGCCCUUCAGAGGGGGACAACAGUUGGAAACGACUGCUAAUACCGAAUACUGAAGGUGGGGAUUGCGGCUGCUUAGCUAGUUGGAGGGGUAACGGCCCACCAAGGCGAACAUCAGUAGGCGGGCUGGGGGGAAGAACGGCCAAAAUGGGACUUAGACAAGGCCCAGAAUCCUAAGGGAGGCAGCAGUGGGGAAUCUUUCGAAAUGGAGGAAAGUCUUACGGAGGAACGCCGCGGGGGUGAUGACGGCCUUCGGGUUGUAAAGCUCUGUUAAGCGGGGAGCGGUACCGGAAGAGAAAGCCACGGCUAACUACGUGCCAGCAGCCGCGGUAAUUC